rnacentral:rRNA from 1 species
AUUGAACGCUGGCGGCAUGCCUUACACAUGCAAGUCGAACGGCAGCACGGGUGCUUGCACCUGGUGGCGAGUGGCGAACGGGUGAGUAAUACAUCGGAACAUGUCCUGUAGUGGGGGAUAGCCCGGCGAAAGCCGGAUUAAUACCGCAUACGAUCUCCGGAUGAAAGCGGGGGCCCUUCGGGCCUCGCGCUAUAGGGUUGGCCGAUGGCUGAUUAGCUAGUUGGUGGGGUAAAGGCCUACCAAGGCGACGAUCAGUAGCUGGUCUGAGAGGACGACCAGCCACACUGGGACUGAGACACGGCCCAGACUCCUACGGGAGGCAGCAGUGGGGAAUUUUGGACAAUGGGCGAAAGCCUGAUCCAGCAAUGCCGCGUGUGUGAAGAAGGCCUUCGGGUUGUAAAGCACUUUUGUCCGGAAAGAAAUCCUUGGCCCUAAUACGGUCGGGGGAUGACGGUACCGGAAGAAUAAGCACCGGCUAACUACGUG